UACAGAGGUGCCAAGCGUUGUUCGGAUUUACUGGGCGUAAAGGGUGCGUAGGUGGUUUGGUAAGUCAAAUGUGAAAUACUACAGCUUAACUGUAGAACUGCAUUCGAAACUGCCAAGCUGGAGUACUGGAGAGGAGAUCGGAAUUCUCGGUGUAGCAGUGAAAUGCGUGGAUAUCGAGAGGAACACCAGUGGCGAAAGCGGAUCUCUGGACAGUUACUGACACUGAGGCACGAAAGCCAGGGGAGCAAAC
rnacentral:rRNA from 1 species